rnacentral:sRNA from 1 species
UUGACAUUUCUGGGACUGAAGCUCUCUCUUUCACUACAGAACAGGUACAGCUCAGGCAGAGACAGUGGGACUUUCCCCAGGCAUAAGUACAAGGAGGGACCAUAUCUAAGGAGAAGAAGAUAGUUCAGGAUUAUAAUAAUACAUUGAACCAAU